rnacentral:rRNA from 1 species
UGGGGAAUAUUGGACAAUGGGCGAAAGCCUGAUCCAGCCAUGCCGCGUGUGUGAAGAAGGUCUUCGGAUUGUAAAGCACUCUAAGUUGGGAGGAAGGGCAGUAAGCGAAUACCUUGCUGUUUUGACGUUACCGACAGAAUAAGCACCGGCUAACUCUGUGCCAGCAGCCGCGGUAAUACAGAGGGUGCAAGCGUUAAUCGGAAUUACUGGGCGUAAAGCGCGCGUAGGUGGUUCGUUAAGUUGAAUGUGAAAGCCCCGGGCUCAACCUGGGAACUGCAUCCAAAACUGGCGAGCUAAAGUAGGGCAGAGGGUGGUGGAAUUUCCUGUGUAGCGGUGAAAUGCGUAGAUAUAGGAAGGAACACCAGUGGCGAAGGCGACCACCUGGGCUCAUACUGACACUGAGGUGCGAAAGCGUGGGGAGCAAACAGG